rnacentral:tRNA from 1 species
GCCUUAAGAAGCUUAUAUACAAGCAAUGGUCUUGUAAACCAUAGAAGGCCUAAGCCCUAAGGCU